GCACUUGGAGCCUGCACCACUUUGAUGGCGGAUUGUUAAUCCGCAGGUUCCGGGUUCAAGUCCCGGGGGUGCACCA
rnacentral:tRNA from 2 species